rnacentral:rRNA from 1 species
GAUGAACGCUAGCGGCAGGCUUAACACAUGCAAGUCGAGGGGUAACAUAGAAAAGCUUGCUUUUCUGAUGACGACCGGCGCACGGGUGCGUAACGCGUAUACAACCUACCUUUUAGCGGGGAAUAGCCCACGGGAAACUUGGAUUAAUGCCCCAUAGUAUAUAGACUUCUCCUGAAGUUUAUAUUAAACAUUUAUGGCUAUUAGAUGGGUAUGCGUCCUAUUAGUUAGUUGGUAAGGUAACGGCUUACCAAGGCAGCGAUAGGUAGGGGUCCUGAGAGGGAGAUCCCCACACUGGUACUGAGACACGGACCAGACUCCUACGGGAGGCAGCAGUGAGGAAUAUUGGACAAUGGGCGAGAGCCUGAUCCAGCCAUGCCGCGUGCAGGAAGACUGCCCUAUGGGUUGUAAACUGUCUUUUACAGAGGAAGAACCCACCCCACGUGUGGGGGUUUGACGGUACUCUGCGAAUAAGGAUCGGCUAACUCCGUG